GCCUGUUUAUCAAAAACAUGUCUUUCUGUUAAAUAUUUAAAGUCUGGCCUGCCCAAUGAUUAUUUAAAUGGCCGCGGUAUUUUGACCGUGCAAAGGUAGCAUAAUCAUUAGUUUUUUAAUUGAAAGCUGGUAUGAAUGGUUUGACGAGAAAGUUGCUGUCUCUUUAAAAUUAAUUGAAUUUUAUUUUUUAGUUAAAAAGCUGAAAUUUUCAUAAGGGACGAGAAGACCCUAUAGAAUUUUAUAAUUAAAUGUUUAGUAAUUAUAUUGAUUUAUAUUUGUUAUAAAACUUUUAAUUAUUUUGUUGGGGCGAUAGGAAAAUUUAAUUAACUUUUUAUUAUUAAGAGCAUUGAUUUAUGUAUAUAUGAUCCAUUUUUUUUUGAUUACAAGAGAAAAUUACCUUAGGGAUAACAGCGUUAUUAAUUUGGAGAGUUCAUAUCGAUAAAUUAGUUUGCGACCUCGAUGUUGGAUUAAAAUUAUCUUUAGGUGGAGAUACUUAAAAGUUAAGUCUGUUCGACUUUUAAAAUUUUACAUGAUCUGAGUUCAGACCGG
rnacentral:rRNA from 1 species